GUGGAAAUAUUUUAAAGCCGCUUUUGUCUCUUAAAAAUCCUGUCAGCUCAUAAAACCGUCCUGUGGUCCUUUGUUUACUGCGUUCCUCUUCUUUAAUGACUUUAAUGGCAGGCUACGCUCCGAACAUUUACAUAACAUCAAAAAAGUUAUCGUCUCAGUCUGACUGAAACUGGACUUUAAAAGACGAGUUAAAGGGAUAUUCCGGCGUAAAAUUAACUUUGACUCAUUUCUUUAGCAAAGAGACUGAACACAACUCACCUACUCUCUUCCAGCAGACGCUUGUCAGGCCAGUCCAUUACAGACUACAGCGGGGUGCCGCAGCUCAAGGAAGAACAUUUAUGAUCAUUUCUUUAUCAUUUCCUUGAAGUAAUAAAAAUCUGACUCUGCAGACUUUUGAUAAAACUCUUUAAAAGUUUAAAACACAGAAAAUAGUUUAAAGGAGUUUUAUCUUUUCGUUGAUGGUCUAAAAACAGAAAUAUAACUUUAUUUAACUCCUCUCGGGAACUUUACUGUCUUAUUCCGGUUACUUUAAAGCUCCUGUGAGGAACUUUCUGCCUGUGUUGACUCUGGCGCCCCCUGUGGACAGAUUGAUAUCUCCCAUUUUCUGCAGAAAGAGUUUAAAAAAGUCGAUCCUCGACAAACAAAGUGCUGACUUCUAUGUUUAUCCUUCACUUCCUGUCUCGUCAUGCAGGAGGAGUUACUUCCUCUUUUAAUGCACGCUGACUUUGUUUCGGAGUCGGGGUUAGUUCACUGUUUAUCAUUUAAUCUGGAGCAUAAAGGAACCGAGUGUCCAGAGUAUUUCGGGACACUUCCUCUUCAUGAUGUUUUGACUGUUUUCUGUCUCAGAUCUGAAAACACUCGUCCACCUCUGCACAUCCAGAGACGACAGUGUGAAUCCUGCUCACUGAUGACCCAGUUUUGGAGCAGAAGAGCCACAUUCCUGCAGAGUUACAGAUGAAGUUUAACGCUCAGUCCUCAGAGGAACGUCUGCGUCAUAAAAACCAACAAGCUGAGACGAGAACCUGCAGACGGCUCGUGAGUCUGCAGUUUUAUUAACCUCAUAUCAGAGUGAUGGACGCCAACCACAGAGAGAGCGGCCCUAGCUCAGAGUUUAAUCCAGACUAAGUUUAGUCUGCAGGGAUUUCAGGGCCCCAGAGGUCAAAGGUCAGAGCCACAGAUGGGACAAAGACUGAUUAACACGUCUGAGAAAGGCGAGUUUUGUGUCGUCCUGGAAAAUUGGAAUAAGACACCCGAACGUCUCCACCUCUUAGAGAAGAUGAAAUCUGAUGUUUCUGCAGAUUAAGAUGAAGAAAACUGGACAAAGACGCUCGAAGGUGAAGAAAAAAAAUCAUAGAAUUAACAGAAGAAACAUCUUUAUCCAACAAACUCACGUUAAAGUCAUAAAUCUGUUCACCCACAGACUCAGGUGUCCUGGAGCUCUGAAGAUUCAAUCUUUUAUUCCAGAUUAUGGAUUGAAUACGGGGAGCUGGGAGGGGGAACAUAAGGAGGAGAUGAGGUCUGGGUCACCCUGUUUAGACGGACCGGGAUCCUCCGAGUCCACCUCUGACCCAAAUGUCUGGAUUUAGUUUGAAGUCAAAGUCGAGCUGCUUGGUGUCAAAUUUCACUUCAGGAUGAGUGAAAGUUUCUGUGUUUGAGGUUCAGGAUGAACUUCAUCUGAAAUACAAUAAAAAUACAAUCAGACCGAGAUGCUAAGACAGAAGAAGAAAAUGAUUAAUAUGGUGAUUAUUACUUCAAGGAAAUGAUCAUAAAUGUUCUUCCUUGAGCUGCGGCACCCCGCUGUAGUCUGUAAUGGACUGGCCUGAGGUCUCUCUACAAACAAGCGUCUGCUGGAAGAGAGUAGGUGAGUUGUGUUUAGUCUCUUUGCUAAAGAAAUGAGUCAAAGUUAAAAAGAUGUUUGGUGUCUAGUACUAUGUCUGUGACCCUAUAUGUCCUGUUGAUGAAGUUAGGUGCUGUUCUGAGCAUUAUUUGUGGCUAUAGAGUGGACUUUUGGUUGGGGGCGUGGCUCUCUGUAUUUCUAUCCUGCGGUCGUUACUAAAGUUGGUAUAACUAGAGAAGUAAGCGGUCGACAACAUUCAUCUCUGGAGGGGGGUCUAACUCGGUGUUACGGUGAGUUUGACCCUAAAUUAAUUUUACGCCGGAAUAUCCCUUUAAGCAAAGUGAGGACACGACAAAAAACAACAGCUUUGUCCAAGGGGGGGCGCCAGAAUCGACUCAAAGCAGAAGUUACUCACAGGACCUUUAAAAUAAAACAACAACACCUGCUCAGAUUUAAUUUAGCAGAAUAUUGAUCAUUUAUUUUGUGUUUGUUUGUCUUUAAUCUCUGAUUAGUGAACUAAGUUUAUAGUUGUUUUCACCAUUACUAAAUUAACUGUAUGUGUGACCUACAUAAUCAAUAUCCCUAAUUAACACCAUGAGUCACAUCAGCGUUUCUAAAUAAAGCUGAUUUCAACCCUCACUUCUAUGGGACUCUCUGAGAUAACAUCACCACACUUUUAUACAAUCCUUAACGGACUUUUUCUUUAGUUUAAGACUUAAUCCAAACGUUUGCUCACGUCUCUGAGUCUCUAAAAUAGGAAAGUCUCCUUGACUUUGACGGGUCCACAGAGUGUGAUGGUUGGGCUUCAUUUAAAAAUAUGUCCUGAAUGUUUCUGAGGUUUCCACUCGCAGAGGUACUGGGAAUUGUUUGUGUGCAGAGUUGCUUCACUGCUGUUGAAAAGUGUGAAUCAUCCCAGCUAACAAAACAGAAAACUGCUGCAAAAUUUCCACUUGGAAAAAAACACACAUGGAGAAGAAGCAGGACGACAUGUAACUUUACAGUUUUCCGUUUCUGAAUAACAAGGUCGCACACCUGUCCAGCUCUGACAUCACCGCUCUGAUAAGACGUCCUGAACCGGAGCCACUCCCACUCUGGGAUUUUUUCUGUUUAUGGUGAGUUACAUCGUCACAUCGUCUCUGCUGGACAUGAACCAGAUUUUAGAGCCGAGGACUGAAUGUAGAAAAUAAAGAUCAUAGAGAGUAAAAAUGUCCUUUUUUCAAACUUGAAAACUGACCGAAGAACGAGAGAGGAAACUUCACUGCAGCCUGAGAACAAACUAACCUUCACACGCUUAUCAGUCCGAUAAAACACGUCUGACACAGACUCAGAGGUCAGUAGGUAACAGAGAGUCAGUAUUUCACCAACACUGAGUUUGUAUCCCAGCCUGGUUUAUGUAAUCCCCCUGAGACCCACAGAUCCAUCGGUGCCAAAAACUCUAAAAAUCCCAGACUCACUGCAGCUGCCCUCCUGACCCAAAUACUAACUGAAGCAGACGUAUGAAUCCGCCUCUGAAAAUAGUCCCUAAAGCUGUUUUUAUGAAGAACUACAGCAGACGUGUCCCCGUCAAACUCAGACCCUCAGUCCAGGUAUCCUUCAGACUCAAGCUGUUCAUGUUUUCAUCCUCUCAGCUAAUGUUGAGAGUCCAGUUAAACCAUCUAAUCAAACUAAAACUGGAGCUCCACUUAACUGUGAGUGUAAACAUGCAGUUAAGGGCCUGUGUCCACUAACACUGACUCUGACUGUAGAGCGCUCCUCUCCUGCUCCGACUCUCCUGAGGCCCGUUUGCUUCCUUUGAGGUUUAAGUUUGUUAUAAAAAUCUGUGUUUCAUGAUUAAUGUGGUUUUAUGUCCUCCUAUGAGGACCUCUGUCAUUGUUGUUGAUGUCGCUGGUAUUGGACUUCUUCCACUUCUCGAUUUUGAUUGGCUGGUGAUCCAGAAGUUGAAUAAAUUCCAGCUGAGGAUGAAAACAGCUGAUAACAAGGACACUCAGGAGGCUGAGCUCUGAAAAUGCUGGACUGGACUGGUCCCAAAAGGAGACUUGGUGAUGCCAGUGCAAAAGAAAAACUGCUGUCAGUGGACACGGUCCCUAAAUCUUGAGGAUCUCAGGGUUUCAAAAUAAACUGUUUGCAGCUGUUUAUUAAACUUGGGCCGUAAAGUUUGGAAGAAAACUGGAAAUCUGUCUCCGUUUCUCCUCGACAUGGUUUAAGUAAAAACUUCUACCGUCUCUUUAAGAACUAUAAGGAGUAUUAACGUGGAUGUAGAUAAAUAUAUUUAAAGUCUUUACAUUGGUAGAUGCUGCCAGCACCAAAAAAAGCCUUCAGUGGACACAGGCCCUAAAUCCUGCUAAGGUCAUUCCUCACGUCGGUGCUUCAUGUUGCACUGAAGCUCUGUGAGCAGCUCCUGGUUCCUCGCUGAGAAACAUGUUACUGACUAAAAACUAAAAAUAACAGAAGCUUCAAACUCUGAAAGUUUGUUUGCAGACGAUCCAGUCAGUGUGACGUCUGCAGAGGAUUGUGGGUCAGAGACAGGAAUCCUGCUGCUGUUGGUGAAACUCUGUUUUUUAUUUCAAACAUAAACGGAGUUUUUAUGGAUCUGUUUGUUCCUCCUGACGGACGUCGGCGUCUCAUGUUCUGUUUGUUUUAGAUCAACUGGAGACAAAUUGUUCUCAUUAGUUUUAGGACUAAUGAAGCACACAAGGUGUUCAGUCCUUCAGCUGUGUGUGUGUGUGUGUGUGUGUGUGUGUGUGUGUGUGGUGAACAUCAUGUCCCACUUUAUGGAUAUAAUAAGUGACGAGUGUUAAACAUCACAUUAAUCUGUCACAACAUUACCGGGCCGCCUUCCUUCUGCUGCGUCUUUACAUAAUCGCUCUAAUGUUUACCCGCUCUUACACAACCCUGUCCUCUGGUCACCGCCGGGUCAACGACCUGGAGCUGUUGGCACCAAACGCUUCUUGGGUAAUAAUGGUUAUAUAUUUUAGGUCAUGUUUGUUCUCCUGAUUUUCUGCUUUAUUAUUGGCUUCUUAUGGCUGCUGGUGCACGGAUUGCAGGGCAGGGUGUUUCCUAUCAUAUCUGCUCACGAUCAUCGUCAUUAUUUCCCAGCAGUAAGACCAGCGUGAGACAGACCGCGACGUUUUUACCAACAGACGGGAGAGGGGAUGUCAACGGU